CCCUUUGGAGACCAAAAGAUGGACUUGCGCUCUGGAUAUUGUUAGCACUUUAAGAAGAAUCACUUUUGGAAUGGAAAACAGAACGAAGGCUCAGAGCCCCUGUAAAGGGUUUGCUCAGCUUUAAGAGGGCUUUGGUGUUUGACACUUUCUUAGAAUGGAUUCAUGACUGUUUUGUAGCAUCCAAAACAUCAACAUUUAUUUCUGGAGCACACCUACUUGUGUAAUUAUAGCAGGUUCAAGAGAAGCAUCCGUGAGCGCUAAGUGAUUCCUUUCAAGCCAAGAUUCUCACGACGGCUGCAACCCGAAAGGAUUACAGGGCCCAAACAGUGGGGAAGAAAAGCUGCUUCAAAAUAAUGCAGCCAAGACAAUGGGGUUACCGUUCCGGUAGCAAAGCG
rnacentral:lncRNA from 1 species